rnacentral:rRNA from 1 species
GUCGAACGAUGAUCCCAGCUUGCUGGGGGAUUAGUGGCGAACGGGUGAGUAACACGUGAGUAACCUGCCCUUAACUCUGGGAUAAGCCUGGGAAACUGGGUCUAAUACCGGAUAUGACUCCUCAUCGCAUGGUGGGGGGUGGAAAGCUUUAUUGUGGUUUUGGAUGGACUCGCGGCCUAUCAGCUUGUUGGUGAGGUAAUGGCUCACCAAGGCGACGACGGGUAGCCGGCCUGAGAGGGUGACCGGCCACACUGGGACUGAGACACGGCCCAGACUCCUACGGGAGGCAGCAGUGGGGAAUAUUGCACAAUGGGCGCAAGCCUGAUGCAGCGACGCCGCGUGAGGGAUGACGGCCUUCGGGUUGUAAACCUCUUUCAGUAGGGAAGAAGCGAAAGUGACGGUACCUGCAGAAGAAGCGCCGGCUAACUACGUGCCAGCAGCCGCGGUAAUACGUAGGGCGCAAGCGUUAUCCGGAAUUAUUGGGCGUAAAGAGCUCGUAGGCGGUUUGUCGCGUCUGCCGUGAAAGUCCGGGGCUCAACUCCGGAUCUGCGGUGGGUACGGGCAGACUAGAGUGAUGUAGGGGAGACUGGAAUUCCUGGUGUAGCGGUGAAAUGCGCAGAUAUCAGGAGGAACACCGAUGGCGAAGGCAGGUCUCUGGGCAUUAACUGACGCUGAGGAGCGAAAGCAUGGGGAGCGAACAGGAUUAGAUACCCUGGUAGUCCAUGCCGUAAACGUUGGGCACUAGGUGUGGGGGACAUUCCACGUUUUCCGCGCCGUAGCUAACGCAUUAAGUGCCCCGCCUGGGGAGUACGGCCGCAAG